GACGAACGCUGGCGGCGUGCUUAACACAUGCAAGUCGAACGAGAAUCUGCGGAAAGAGGAUUCGUCCAAUUGAAACAGAGGACAGUGGCGGACGGGUGAGUAACGCGUGAGGAACCUGCCUUUCAGAGGGGGACAACAGUUGGAAACGACUGCUAAUACCGCAUGACACAUUGAGGUCGCAUGGCCUUAAUGUCAAAGAUUUAUCGCUGAAAGAUGGCCUCGCGUCUGAUUAGCUAGUUGGUGAGGUAACGGCCCACCAAGGCGACGAUCGGUAGCCGGACUGAGAGGUUGAACGGCCACAUUGGGACUGAGACACGGCCCAGACUCCUACGGGAGGCAGCAGUGGGGAAUAUUGCACAAUGGGGGAAACCCUGAUGCAGCGACGCCGCGUGGAGGAAGAAGGUCUUCGGAUUGUAAACUCCUGUUGUUGAGGAAGAUAAUGACGGUACUCAACAAGGAAGUGAACGGCUAACUACGUG
rnacentral:rRNA from 1 species